CCUACGGGGGGCUGCAGUGGGGAAUAUUGGACAAUGGGGGAAACCCUGAUCCAGCAAUGCCGCGUGUGUGAAGAAGGCCUGCGGGUUGUAAAGCACUUUCGGUUGGGAAGAAAAGUUUGGCGCCAAUACCGCCGAACCUUGACGUUACUGACAGAAGAAGCACCGGCUAACUCUGUGCCAGCAGCCGCGGUAAUACAGAGGGUGCAAGCGUUAAUCGGAAUCACUGGGCGGAAAGCCUGCGUAGGUGGUCAAUCCCCGGGCUUAACCGAGGUCCCGCAUCCGAUACUGUCUGGCUCGAGUCUAGGAGAGGAAAGCGGAAUUCCCAGUGUAGCGGUGAAAUGCGUAGAUAUUGGGAGGAACACCGGUGGCGAAGGCGGCUUUCCGGACUAGUACUGACGCUGAGGCGCGAAAGCUAGGGGAGCGAACGGGAUUAGAUACCCCUGUUAGUC
rnacentral:rRNA from 1 species